AUGUCAGGGUCGCCAGGUCAGCACGGGGCUGGGACCUGCACUGCCCCAGGGCAGGGUGAACCAGGUGUGUUUCAGUGGGCAGGGCAGGGACGCACCUUCACAGUGCACGCCGUGGCCCCCAGGACCUCCCGGCACGGGCACCUGGUGCUGGUGGCUGCAGGUCUCACAGCGUUCCCCACUGACCCCAGGAGGGCACGUGCAGCGGCCCGUGUGCAGGUCACAGUGGCCCCCUUGGCACUGGCAGCCUUGGGUGGGAGGGGCGGGAGAGGCGGGAUGAGUAGCUGGCUGAGGACCCUGGGGGUACUCGCCACCCCAAGGUGCCCCGCCUGCUCGCACUCACGCCUGCAGCCCUGCUCGGGGAGCCCCCAGUGGCCGGGGGCACACUCGCGACAUUGGGGUCCCCCAGUCCCUGGUCGGCAGUGGCACUGCCCACUUUGGGGGUGGCACUCGGAACUCUCGGCGGCUGGUCCACAGGCACAUGGGCGGCAGCCCUCGCAGCCCUCGAAGCCAAAAUGUCCUUCCUGGGGGCACAGACUGCAGUCAACGGCUCUGUCCAGCCCUCAAAACCCACCUUCCUUCAGCCCUGGAGCCAUGAGGUCCCGCCCACACAGAGCCCCUCCCCUCCCACCGGGCCCCGCCCCUAUCGCCCUGAGCCCCACCCACAAACCCCACCCAUCCUACCGAGCCCCGCCCCUACACCAAGGCCCCGCCCCUCCCAGGAAGUGCUACCUGACAGCGGUCACAGCGCAGCCCAGUCACACCGGCCUUGCACAGGCAGUGUCCACUGUGGGGGUCACAGGCCUCCGUCCCACAUGGGGAGCAGUCACACCCUGCAGAAAGUCACCCUGGGAAAUCACCCCAGCUUCUUCCCAGCCCUCGGAAGCCCUUACUAGGCUCCUACUCCACAUGCACCUUCUUCCUGCCCCAAACGAAGCCCCCAGAUGCUUACUUUUCACCACCUCCCUGCUUCAUCCAGGUCCAGACCACACAGCUGCCCGCUCACUGUCCCACUGUGCCCAACUUCGCUGCAGCCCAGGCUCAGCCCCCACCCUCAAGAGAGGCCAGAGUCUCCAAACAACCCCUGGCCCAGCCAGGGGGUGCCUAACCGUGAGCUCGGGGGGCCUGGUCAGGUCCACACCAUCCAUGCUGGGCUCGGCCCAGGACACAGCCUGCUCGGGUGGGACACCCCUCGUUCCUGCCCUCCCCGCUUACGGGUGCAGUUGCCGGGCAACAGGGCAUUGCCGUAGAAGCCAGGGGCGCAGCUCUCGCAGUGGGGCCCAGUGGUGUGGCGCAGGCAGCCGCGGCAGGCGCCUGUCAGGGGGUCGCAGUCGCUGA
rnacentral:lncRNA from 1 species